rnacentral:rRNA from 1 species
AUGCUCGUAGUUGAAGUUCUGAAGAAGUUCACGUAGCUUACGGUGGAGUGAAUAUUUUUCAUCUUUCUGUUAACGAAGUCGACAUUCUUUGUCAUUUCGAGCUCAGAUAUUUUACCUUGAGAAAAAUAGAGUGUUUCAGGCAGGCAUGGCCAGUAUACACAAGCAUGGAAUAAUAGAAUUGACGCUUUUCUGUGGCCGCAG